CCAGCUGCAGCACAUAACCUCAGUGCCUGCUAUUUGUAACUGUCACGGAGACUUCUCUACAUUGAGCCCCAGAUUCCCACUGCCCUUGCUGAGCCACCAAGGUGCGGGCAGUGUGGAGACAAAGGGGGCCGGCCCGGGAGCUCCCUCCCUCUGGCCUCAGUCCCACCCCGUCCCGCAGGGACCGGAUUGCAGGUCAGCAAGAAAUGGUCUCUGGUUGGCUUUGUGGUGCCCUGAGCUUUUCCCACGCAGCAAAGACAUUAUCAGAAGGUCACGUCAAGAACGUGAAUGUUAGAGGAGAGUGACAGAAGUGACCGACGGGUUAGGAAAAGGGAAGCAUGAAGAAGUCUCAGGAAACUCGGACUUUCUGCCUCGUCCUUCUGGACUGGAAACGCAUCGCAGUGCCUGUAAGGCACAGACGCCGUGCCGGCAACGUGAAUGCUUUCUAACGAGAAAGUGCUGUACACACUGCGUCACCGGGCUGAGAGGAGCGAGGGGAUAGAUUGGUUCAUUCAUUCAUUCAUUCAUUCAACACACGCCUGAGAGCCUCGUGUCAGGUGCUGAGAGGGACUCCACGCUUCCCCUCCUGAAGGACUACUGGUCUGCCCUUCCCAUUUUUCCAGGGAUGGAGAUAGGAGAAAUCCACCUGGAACAGAGAGAACAGGGAAAAACUUCAUUAUUGGAGAGAGAAAGGGGAGGCCGUGUCCCUCUGGAGUCCCCAGGAGCCGCUAUCGGAGAGGACAGGGACUUGGUUCACCACUUGCCCCUUUCGUCCUCAAAACCUCAGGCCCUUCCCACAACCUCCUCUGGCUGCCGUGGGCCCAGCGUCUCCCUGCGUGAGGAGGACGGGAGUGGAAACACAUGCCUUACAAGGCACCAGGAGAGGCUGGGGCUCUGUUGAGAGGGGAAGCAGCACGAGUGGGAAGAACGGCCUGGUGCUGUUUGCCGGGACCCUCCGGGAGGCACAGCAUCUGGCCCUGCCUGGACCCACCUCACCGUGGCCUUUUGGUGGAUGAAGAUGGAGUGUGAGGGCUGAAGCAAUGCUUUCGCCCACCAAGGAGCCGUCCUCGGCCUCAUGCUGCUCCCCUCCAGCCCCAUGGGUUCAUACCAGGGACCGACUCCCAGUACAGUGACUCUCACUCUCUGGUGGAAUCUCUCCCCGUUCUCCCCUCCCCUUCGCCAGCAUCCCCUCUCCUGCCCACCCCCCCCCCUCCCGUUUCCCCACCCAGCUUCCCUUUCAAAGCCCAGGCUCAGGGAAGCUCAGGGAAGCUCACGGAAGCUCCACGAGUCUGAAAACCUUACAAAAGCCCUGGUUGUCAACUUUGCCUGAUUUUCUAAUUUCAUCUCUUACAAGCUUUCGGGAUGCUAACAUGAUUAAGUUCUUCACACAAUUUAUUAGCAUCAUGUUGGAAAUCCGGUGGUAUAUUAUACUGUCUGAGUAAUCCAAUUAGCAAAAUGUAUUUAUUUAACGGGAGUAUUAGCCACAUACGAGUCCCGCCCCAGCCGUCUCCACUCUCGUCUGUUUCCCCACGGAAGGGACUUGCGUCAACACGGGAGACUGUGACGGAGCGUGAGGCAGCCCAGGUUGCAGGGUGGGAGGGGGUGCGGGGUGGCCAAGGAUGCCCCCAUUUGGGCUGGGAGAGGGUGAGUCAUGCAGAUACAGAUGUUUGGUGCUGAGACUGGAUGGUCCAGUGGGAAGAGCGUGAAUUCAGGCGACUCUGGGUUCAGAUUCCAGCUUUGCCACUUGAUCCUAGCUCUGAAUCAAGACCGGGCACCUUCUUGAGGUUUUCUGCAUCCCGGUUUCCUUAUUAUCUGUGAAAUGGAGACAAGAAAACCCUCCUGAAAGGGUGGCUGUGAAAAUUCCAUGAGACAGCUGAGGGAGACCGGACCAGU
rnacentral:lncRNA from 1 species